CACGACAUCACGAAACUCGGGUGUCCAGUGGCGCAUCCCAAGUUCAUCAAACGACCUUCAGCUAGAAUAAUGAUGCCAGACUUGGUGUCUGGAAACACCCACCUAUCAGUCUGCGGCUUGAUGGUGAUACGUUUCACACCAGGGAAGGUCUCUAGCCCGAGCAUGUCGAUUUCGUUGUCAAAAUGACCAAUGUUGCAAACAAUGGCAUUGUUCUUCAUCUUCCUCAUAUGGUCAACCAUAAUAAUAUCUUUGUUUCCAGUUGUGGUGACAAAGAUAUCAGCUUCUGAGAGAACAUCCUCAAGAGUUAGAACUUGAAGACCUUCCAUAAGAGCCUGAAGGGCACAGAUUGGAUCAAUCUCAGUCACAAUGACACGAGCACCAGCUGUUUUCAUGGCUGCAGCACAACCUUUUCCAACAUCACCAUAACCACAGAUAACAGCGACCUUUCCGGCAAUCAUAACAUCAGUAGCCCUCAUGAGACCGUCUG
rnacentral:lncRNA from 1 species